GAUGAAGAACGCAGCGAAAUGCGAUAAGUAAUGUGAAUUGCAGAAUUCAGUGAAUCAUCGAAUCUUUGAACGCACCUUGCACCCUUUGGCAUUCCGAAGGGUAUGCUCGUUUGAGUGUCAUUGUACUCUCACACUCUCCGAUCCUAUGGAUUCGGGGAGCGGUGGACUUGGGUGUUGCUGCCUUUCCUUGUGGCUCACCUCAAAUGUGUCAGUGCACCUCUUGGUUGGACAUAGUACGGCGUGAUAAGUGUCUUCGCCGGCACCUCGCAAGAGGGUGGCCGAUCGGGAGCUCUGUGCUUUCAACCCGUCUUCGGACAAUUUCUGACAACUUGACCUCAAAUCGAGUAGGACUACCCGCUGAACUUAAGCAUAUCAAUAAGCGGAGGA
rnacentral:misc_RNA from 1 species